GCUCAACCGAGGAAGUGCUUCGAAAACUGGUAAACUUGAGUGCAGAAGAGGAAAGUGGAACUCCAUGUGUAGCGGUGGAAUGCGUAGAUAUAUGGAAGAACACCAGUGGCGAAGGCGGCUUUCUGGUCUGUAACUGACGCUGAGAUUCGAAAGCAUGGGUAGCAAACAGGAUUAGAUACCCUGGUAGUCCAUGCCGUAAACGAUGAGUGCUAAGUGUUGGAGGGUUUCCGCCCUUCAGUGCUGCAGCUAACGCAUUAAGCACUCCGCCUGGGGAGUACGAUCGCAAGAUUGAAACUCAAAGGAAUUGACGGGGGCCCGCACAAGCGGUGGAGCAUGUGGUUUAAUUCGAAGCAACGCGAAGAACCUUACCAGGUCUUGACAUACCAUGAAAGGCUUAGAGAUAAGUCUUUCCCUUCGGGGACAUGGAUACGGGUGGUGCAUGGUUGUCGUCAGCUCGUGUCGUGAGAUGUUGGGUUAAGUCCCGCAACGAGCGCAACCCUUAUUAUCAGUUGCCAGCAUUCAGUUGAGCACUCUGGUGAGACUGCCGGUGAUAAACCGGAGGAAGGUGGGGACGACGUCAAAUCAUCAUGCCCCUUAUGACCUGGGCUACACACGUGCUACAAUGGUCGGUACAACG
rnacentral:rRNA from 1 species